UACAGAGGGGGCAAGCGUUGUUCGGAAUUACUGGGCGUAAAGGGCGCGUAGGCGGCCUGCUAAGUCGAACGUGAAAUCCCUGGGCUCAACCCAGGAACUGCGUCCGAUACUGGAUGGCUUGGAUUCGGGAGAGGGAUGCGGAAUUCCAGGUGUAGCGGUGAAAUGCGUAGAUAUCUGGAGGAACACCGGUGGCGAAGGCGGCAUCCUGGACCGAUAUUGACGCUGAGGAGCGAAAGCCAGGGGAGCAAACGGG
rnacentral:rRNA from 1 species